GAUGAACGCUGGCGGCGUGCCUAAUACAUGCAAGUCGAGCGAACAGACGAGUAGCUUGCUCCUCUGACGUUAGCGGCGGACGGGUGAGUAACACGUGGAUAACCUACCUAUAAGACUGGGAUAACUUCGGGAAACCGGAGCUAAUACCGGAUAAUAUAUUGAACCGCAUGGUUCAAUAGUUACAGACGGUUUUGCUGUCACUUAUAGAUGUAUCCGCGCCGCAUUAGCUAGUUGGUAAGGUAACGGCUUACCAAGGCAACGAUGCGUAGCCGACCUGAGAGGGUGAACGGCCACACUGGAACUGAGACACGGUCCAGACUCCUACGGGAGGCAGAAGUAGGGAAUCUUCCGAGAUGGGCGAAAGACUGAAGGAGCAACGCCGCGUGAGUGAUGAAGGUCUGCGGAUCGUAAAACUCUGUUAUUAGGGAAGAACAAAUGUGUAAGUAACUAUGCACGUCUUGACGGUACCUAAUCAGAAAGCCACGGCUAACUACGUG
rnacentral:rRNA from 1 species